CAUAAAUGGAUGGAGCUACCUCAAAACAUCAUACUGAAUUAGUUUCUUGGUGUUCUGAAGAUUUUCCUGAGGGAAAGAAAAAAGGCAUUCCCCUGAGCCAAAAGCAUGCAGUAUAAUGGCAGUUUAAAUACACUCACCUUGGAGAGUAUGGGAUGGAUUUGGGCUUCAUCUGGUUGAAUGCAAAGGUGAGUUUCUGUGCUGCUCUCUGCUGCUGAAUUUCCUGUGAGUCAAACCCACACCUCAUUAGCUGCUUAACAGAACAGGGAACAGCAGAGAGCCAAGCAGGCAGUGGGAACAGUGUCUAUUCCCCCAAGACAGGGUAACAGAUGACUUGCUUUUUAAAUUAUAUCUAUAUUUUAAGAAUUUGAGCUCUUUGUUUAGAUAAGCCAUCCUGGAACAGAGUUUUUAACCCUUUUGCCCAUACAGAACCCCAGACUAACUUUUUUUCCUAUUCUAGUAAGUAUAUCCUAGUACACAGGUGGGAAUUUAAUUCCUGUUUAACAUAUAAUGCCUGUCCAUGUUUAAUAAUUGACAAAGAUAGAACUUACUCUCAAGCACAAAUGCAACACAGUAUCCUCCUUAUAAAUGCUUGACCAAGUAUUCACAACUUCAGGAAGAAAGGACUUGAUGAUAUAAAGAUGUCCUGAUUUCAG